rnacentral:rRNA from 1 species
GCUCAACCGAAGAAGUGCAUCGGAAACUGGGAAACUUGAGUGCAGAAGAGGACAAUGGAACUCCAUGUGUAGCGGUGAAAUGCGUAGAUAUAUGGAAGAACACCAGUGGCGAAGGCGGCUGUCUGGUCUGUAACUGACGCUGAGGCUCGAAAGUAUGGGUAGCAAACAGGAUUAGAUACCCUGGUAGUCCAUACCGUAAACGAUGAAUGCUAAGUGUUGGAGGGUUUCCGCCCUUCAGUGCUGCAGCUAACGCAUUAAGCAUUCCGCCUGGGGAGUACGGCCGCAAGGCUGAAACUCAAAGGAAUUGACGGGGGCCCGCACAAGCGGUGGAGCAUGUGGUUUAAUUCGAAGCUACGCGAAGAACCUUACCAGGUCUUGACAUACUAUGCAAAUCUGAGAGAUUAGACGUUCCCUUCGGGGACAUGGAUACAGGUGGUGCAUGGUUGUCGUCAGCUCGUGUCGUGAGAUGUUGGGUUAAGUCCCGCAACGAGCGCAACCCUUAUUAUCAGUUGCCAGCAUUAAGUUGGGCACUCUGGUGAGACUGCCGGUGACAAACCGGAGGAAGGUGGGGAUGACGUCAAAUCAUCAUGCCCCUUAUGACCUGGGCUACACACGUGCUACAAUGGAUGGUACAACG